AUUGAACGCUGGCGGCUGGCUUAACACAUGCAAGUCGAACGAUGAUUAUCUAGCUUGCUAGAUAUGAUUAGUGGCGGACGGGUGAGUAACAUUUAGGAAUCUGCCUAGUAGUGGGGGAUAGCUCGGGGGAACUCGAAUUAAUACCGCAUACGACCUACGGGUGAAAGGGGGCGCAAGCUCUUGCUAUUAGAUGAGCCUAAAUCAGAUUAGCUAGUUGGUGGGGUAAAGGCCCACCAAGGCGACGAUCUGUAACUGGUCUGAGAGGAUGAUCAGUCACACCGGAACUGAGACACGGUCCGGACUCCUACGGGAGGCAGCAGUGGGGAAUAUUGGACAAUGGGGGCAACCCUGAUCCAGCCAUGCCGCGUGUGUGAAGAAGGCCUUUUGGUUGUAAAGCACUUUAAGCAGGGAGGAGAGGCUAAUGGUUAAUACCCAUUAGAUUAGACGUUACCUGCAGAAUAAGCACCGGCUAACUCUGUGCCAGCAGCCGCGGUAAUACAGAGGGUGCGAGCGUUAAUCGGAAUUACUGGGUGUAAAGCGAGUGUAGGUGGCUCAUUAAGUCACAUGUGAAAUCCCCGGGCUUAACCUGGGAACUGCAUGUGAUACUGGUGGUGCUAGAAUAUGUGAGAGGGAAGUAGAAUUCCAGGUGUAGCGGUGAAAUGCGUAGAGAUCUGGAGGAAUACCGAUGGCGAAGGCAGCUUCCUGGCAUAAUAUUGACACUGAGAUUCGAAAGCGUGGGUAGCAAACAGGAUUAGAUACCCUGGUAGUCCACGCCGUAAACGAUGUCUACUAGCCGUUGGGGUCCUUGAGACUUUAGUGGCGCAGUUAACGCGAUAAGUAGACCGCCUGGGGAGUACGGCCGCAAGGUUAAAACUCAAAUGAAUUGACGGGGGCCCGCACAAGCGGUGGAGCAUGUGGUUUAAUUCGAUGCAACGCGAAGAACCUUACCUGGUCUUGACAUAGUGAGAAUCCUGCAGAGAUGCGGGAGUGCCUUCGGGAAUUCACAUACAGGCGCUGCAUGGCUGUCGUCAGCUCGUGUCGUGAGAUGUUGGGUUAAGUCCCGCAACGAGCGCAACCCUUUUCCUUAUUUGCCAGCGGGUUAAGCCGGGAACUUUAAGGAUACUGCCAGUGACAAACUGGAGGAAGGCGGGGACGACGUCAAGUCAUCAUGGCCCUUACGACCAGGGCUACACACGUGCUACAAUGGUAGGUACAGAGGGUUGCUACACAGCGAUGUGAUGCUAAUCUCAAAAAGCCUAUCGUAGUCCGGAUUGGAGUCUGCAACUCGACUCCAUGAAGUCGGAAUCGCUAGUAAUCGCGGAUCAGAAUGCCGCGGUGAAUACGUUCCCGGGCCU
rnacentral:rRNA from 1 species